rnacentral:misc_RNA from 1 species
CAGCAAGCAAAUUCCCAAAAGUGGUCGCAUUUGGCUUCACCACCUUCCUAUCCAUCUCUGCUAUAACCGAAUAACCCGAACUGGAACUCCCAGACUCACAAAAUGCCUUGAUAACCGUAUUAUAAGUAUCCAAAUUCGGCUCAAUACUAUAAAUCUUAGGGAACUCGAGAAAAAUCCGCUUCACCUCCCUAUAAUCCUUAGCCAAAAUACAAGCGAAAAGCAGAGCAUUCAGAGCCUUAACAGACCCAGUACCAGAACCAACAACAUCGGCGUGAUAUUCCUGGAAGGUGCGGAUAGCGUGGUCCAUCAUGUUGGCCUGGCCAAAAAGCACGAUGGCGUGGCCGGCGAAUCGUUCGGAGGACCUAAGGUCAGCGCGGG